CCAAUCCGAGACUCAUUACUGCAUACUGUUGUCAUUAAUAGUCGCAGUUAUGUUUCCUUAAAUGUGUUAAAAGUGACAUGAAAUGAGAGAGAAAUGAGAAACUAUUUGCAAAUAUGCAAAGAAAAAGUGUUGGAGGUCUGAAAAGCCUCCACACUGCUGACCCUUUGCUGUUAGCUUCCUCCAUCCUCUGUAUCCGGUGCAGAGGUGCUGAAAGGUGGAGCAGAAACCACCGAACAAUAUAGAACUAAAUUGCACAGAUUGGCCUUGAUUGGCCUAUUGUCACGGAUACCCGAUCCAGCUUUCUCAGACAGGAUCACAUAUUCAUUCACAUACUGGACCAGACAUCACUGGUAAGAAGGGAGUAAAAAUAGAGAAUAAUAGAGUAUUUUUUCAGCCACCAUGAUUAUGCAUGUAAUAAUUAUUUUUUACUCUUUUCUACAUUUAUCUACUCUAAAAAAAAAAAAACGGGGAGGUAAGAUAUGAAACUGUGGAUUUGUAAAUGUUAAACUGUAAAACAGCAGAAGGACAUUUUCUGUCCUAUUGAUCUAGUUAAACAUCGUUAAAGGCAGCGCCAGACCGGAUUCAUUGAAAGACCACAGGUGCUGACACUCAAGCUAAACAGCAGACGCUGGACUUCAGAGCAGGGUGUGAUGGUGGAGAGACGGCGAGUGGACAACAUCUGAAGGAGCUGUCUGAAUCCCAUCAGGCUGGAAAGGCAGAGCGUGUAACGUUCAUUAUUCUUCCAACAGAGUGGAGUAAAUGUCCCUGACUCGAGUCCACUGACUCGUCUCUCAUCUGUCAGCGUCUAUUAAAGCCACAACACCUUCAUUAGAGCCAACUCUUCAGCACAGAGCUUCCUUAAAAAAGGUGGAAAUCUGUGGAUUUGAAGGUUCACUUGUGUCGACGCUCUCGCUGCAGCUCGUUAUCCUGCUCAUGAAUUUGCUUGGAGUGAGUUUGGUACGGGCGAAGCUUCUGAUGUUUCUACAAAGAAAUCCCCCCCCCCACCUUGAGGCCUCGCGGCUUUAAUAAGGGACUGAAGAAAGGCCGCGUGGACGCUUCGUGCAGCUGUGCAGAAACAAAGGGAGCAGACCUGCGGCUACAUUUUUCAUCCUUUCUUCCAAAAAUAAGAACAAAUGCUUUAAAAUGAUCAGAAGUGGCAACAGCUUCAUUUACUUUGACCAACAACAGUCAGCUGUGAUUGGUUAUUUUGUGUCAUUAAAGAUGAAAUUAAAGUAAUUACAUUUAGAUUCAGUUAAAUGUUUGAAGUUUUAUUCAGCUUAUUUUUGUUUUUUGUGGUGUCCCACAAAGACACACCCUGAGGUCUCGAUGCCCAAACACAGGUAAUGGCUAUGAAUCUAAUUUCCAAACGUUCCCCGUCUAAGGAGAUUUUAAACAUUUUCCUAAACGUCCAGACUCCCUAAUCGGGUCACGAUGAGCCUCGUCUCUACGUCUUACGUUUCAAACAAACUCAUUUAUUCCACAGUUGCUGAACUCUUACGUUUGUAUAAAAUUCCACCUCAGCAGCGCGGACACACCUCCGCCUUCUCUAAAUACAUUCCACACGUUAAAAGCCACAGAAAUAUUUACACGGUCACUGGCUGUGAGUUUUAAUACCAGCCAUAUUCAUUUCCACUCUGCGAGGCACGCCAGCGCUACUUCAUCUGAAACAUUUGAUAUACAUACACGACCCAGGGCCAAUAACUCUGGUAUGUGUGUUUGCUGCCAGCAGCGACUUCAUUAAGCUGUUAAAACUUGGGGAAAAUGCCGAGAAGCCCUGGAAACAUUUGAAGUGCAUUUUCACAUUUACAGUGUUGUAAAGUUGUUAUUUGUUCUGCUGGCAGCUCCGAGUUCAGUCAGGAGUGAGGACUACCUGGCAGACAGCUCUGUUUGCUCCAGCGUCACGUUUCUCUCAAAGCAAAUUGCUGAGAGGUGAACAUUAAGUAUUUAUGUAUUUAUUGGUAAGCCAGCUGGUUGGUUUGUUUAGCAAUAUACCCGAAAUCCACAGCCGGCAAUGAAUACCGAUGCGCUCGUCAGUCAUUUUCCAGCUAAUCUCUCCUGACAGACUCAACAAUCGAUGCUCUUCUGUUGUUUUAAGAUGAGAUUGAUUAAAACUCAUUUCCAGACGCACAUUUUAUGCUGGACUCUUCCUGUUAUGCUCCAUUGUUUAUUCUUUGUUGCUGUUCUUUCAGAUUUGAAGAAGCUGAUUUUAUAAAAACAUGCUGGGUAGAGUGUAGGCUGCUGAAGCCAGAUGGCAUUUUAAUAGUCCAGCCCUGAUGAAUAAAUAGAGGCUGCAGGCAAAGAGAAGAGGAGGCCAAAGCCAGGACGGCUCAACUGACCAGUCAAGUCAAGCCAGGUGAUACCCACAAUGCAUUUCCCACCGAGCCUGACUGGGAGGCAGCCCGGGCACAGAUACAGACCACGUUUUGUCUACAUUUCUGGAACCAGCAGGGAGACAUUAGGCCUAAAAUGACCCAGAAAGUUCAGACUGAGCUAAUUGCAGGAGGCAGGAAGGUGACAGACUUAACACAGACUAAACACUCAGAAAGAUGUGCAAAGAGUAUCUUGGUAUUAAAGAGCAAUGAUUAGCUUGCAGAGCAUGAAACAUGACAGGAGACGUGGAUGUUCUUUUUCAAGGCCGUCUGUUGUAAAGGCUCACCUUUCAGCACAUUCACUUCACCAGAUGCACCUUGUUUCUUUUCCUCACCUUUGAUUGGGGGUGGUGCUUGGCCUUAAUUGCACUCACCUGUCACUCGUUUUAUAAGGACUGCACUCACCUACCCCUCACUCUUUCUUCACUCCCACAUGGGGCGGCAGCUGAGGUGGGGUAGGGCCUGUCCUCGCACCAGGCGGCACGUGGAGCCGUCGCCGCCGCAGACGCCGCAGUUAUCCUCCCUGGCACCGCUGGCCAGCUGCCGAUCGCAGCCCACCUCCUGCACAUGCAACAAGCACAAAGACAGAGACGAGGCUGAAACAAAGACAGCUGCAGGGCAAAGUCAGGCUGAAUUAUGUUCCCGACCAACAGCGAGGACGCUCAGUCUAAUUAUAAUUUACAUGCCACACAAGUUUCCAACGAUGGACAGUUUAGAGCCAGAGGCUAAGAAGUCUGUUUGUGUGCUUCUGAAAGUCGUUAAAUGAACAUUUGGUCAUUUUUUCACAGCCAAUGUCUGACUGCACCGCAACAUAAUUAAAACGGAGGCGUCCCCCGGCUCCCUCAGCUCUCUCUAACAGCCUGCUGACUGACUUCUGUGUGGACACUCUGCAAGAUGUUUACGUUCACACGAGCGCCUCGUCUGCUCCUGUCAUUGUUCCAUCCACGGAUGGACAGCCGGCAUAAUCAGAAACAGCAAACGGUGAAGCAGUUUGUCAAGGCAAAAUCUGGACCCCCCAAUUCUUAGCAAGCAAGCGAGCUAGCCUGCUAGCUCCUUAAACAGGAAACAAGAACAUUAAUGUAAACCUUAAACAUUGUGCUUUAGUGUUGCAGCCUUCAAACGUUUGUUUUUCUGGUUUGUGGCACACUUUUCACUCUUUCACCACUGCUUUGUGUUUGCAGACAAAUUAGCAAAUUAGCAUUUUCCAGACCACAAUGAGCUGCUUGCAACCAAACCAAUCCCUCUGAGGUUUUCGGUGUAGCAUUGUAAACCUCUUUGUGAAUGAUUGUAGGCACGGAGUCACUGUAAUUACAGGUUAGAAUACAGAGCAAGUGCAAUCAUAUAGUCAAAGUCAACUUUAACGUCAUCUCCGCUCUAUACAGUACAGAACAUGGAGAGACGAGACGACGAGGCUCCAGUUCAAGUGCAAAAGACAAUAAAUACAAUUACAGUAAGAAAUAAACAUACACUUUAAGACUAAAGGUAAAAGGAUCAAUAACAAUUUAAAUUUACAAUUUACAGGUGAAUGAUUUAAAGUUAUUAUAAAUCUUGGGACCAUAAUCAAUGAGAAACUGAAUUUUGAUGAGAACUGGUCUGUACAAAGGGUCACCGGCGCCUUUACUGCCUCAGGAAACUUGUUCAUUUCCACAUUGACUGAACAAUUUUAACUUUGUUUUAUCUGUUUGUUUGGUGGCAUGGUUCUGUCAGACCGCUGUCACAGAGAAAACCUCAGAAACAGAUGGUGAGAUGGUCCGGUCGUCCGAUAGCUUCUUCCCUUUGGACGGAGGUUUGGAGUUCCAACAUGCAGGACGAAGCGUUAUAAAAACAGCUUUGUUCCUGCUGCUGUCACUAAACUUGAACCUUGAACCCUUCAUCAAGCAACAGCCAGCGAGCUCCAUCAACCUGCUAACCAGUCGGGGAAUACACAGUUGCUGCUUGUAGUGACAGAGGCGUCUGCAGGCCUGUGUGAAAGCAAUCAGUUUGCUAUUUCUAUGUAGCCCAGGACUUCCAUGAUCCUGGUGAAUCAUGAGAUCACGAGAAGCUAAACCAUCAUCAGAUAUCCAGCCAAAGCUUCUCUUACCAAAAAUGUUGACCCUUGCCCGAAGACUGUGUGUGUUCAUACGGACGCAUCUGACAACAGAGUAAUUUCCAAAUAUAAGACUGGGUUGCUAGGAAACAGUCAGAUUUUGAUGGGACUUCAAACUCUGUCAAGAUGAGCUUGUACUACCUGAUGGAAGGUGAUUUAAUCAAACCGUCAUCUGGCCUUUAAUAUACUUUUAUCGAGGAUAAAAUUCAACUUGGAAAACAUCAAAACAUAUUCUGUAUAAUCAGUCUCAUCUCUGCAUUUCUUUGUGGGUCACUGGGACCUUGUAUCCUGGCUUUAAAUAACAAGACAAAUUAAGUGUGACCUCAGGAUGAGUGUGCAGGAAACGUUUCCACAGCCUCCUGAGAUGCACUCGUUUCAAAAGCUGCAGGACAUAAACGAGACCGUCCCUGAUUUCAAAAACAAACUGCGGAUUUUUAAAAAAGGAAUAAUGAAGCAUUCAGAAGGCAGGACUGAAAAAUGACUCACAGCAAACUAUAAAUGCUUCUUUUUUACGACAGCAGUGACCAAUGAAAACGCUAUAGAAAGGCCCAGGUGGUCAAAAUGAUCUUACACGGACAUGAAAAUGGAUCUAUCAUCAUCUGGGUCUAACCUGGUCUGCUUCUGGCUCUACUGUUAUUCAUAAAGGGGGCUUGGCACAGCUUCUGGCACGUGGAAUAAAUGUCCUGACAGCUGAUGUGUGGUUCAAACCGCUCUCUCACAGAGCAGGCAAGGUCCACACAGAAAGGACCCAACUGGCAAGAGCAUUCAAACCCAGGAACUUCCUGCCAUGAGCCGG